rnacentral:rRNA from 1 species
CGUACAGGUCUCCGUAGGUGAACCUGCGGAGGGAUCAUUACAAGAACGCCCGGGCUUCGGCCUGGUUAUUCAUAACCCUUUGUUGUCCGACUCUGUUGCCUCCGGGGCGACCCUGCCUUCGGGCGGGGGCUCCGAGUGGACACUUCAAACUCUUGCGUAACUUUGCAGUCUGAGUAAACUUAAUUAAUAAAUUAAAACUUUUAACAACGGAUCUCUUGGUUCUGGCAUCGAUGAAGAACGCAGCGAAAUGCGAUAAGUAAUGUGAAUUGCAGAAUUCAGUGAAUCUUCGAAUCUUUGAACGCACAUUGCGCCCCCUGGUAUUCCGGGAGGCAUGCCUGUUCGAGCGUCAUUUCACCACUCAAGCCUCGCUUGGUAUUGGGCAACGCGGUCCGCCGCGUGCCUCAAAUCGUCCGGCUGGGUCUUCUGUCCCCUAAGCGUNGUGGAAACUAUUCGCUAAAGGGUGUUCGGGAGGCUACGCCGNAAAACAACCCCAUUUCUAAGGUUGACCUCNGAUCA